rnacentral:lncRNA from 1 species
CGAGUGAUAUGGUAUUAUUAAAAAAAAAAAGAUCACAGGUUCUAGAGUCAGGUAAACUUGGAUUUGCUUCCUUCCCGUUAGCACAUUCCUUGGGCAAGUUAUUUAUCCUACAUUACUACUACUUCCUUAUCUGUAAUAUGGGAAUACCUAACUUAAAUUGCAAAGAUUUGCUAAGAAAUCAUGUAUGUGUAAAGCUUGGUGCCUAACCAGUAGGUAUACUCAACAGAUGUACAUUUCUUGCUGCCUCUCGCAAAUCCGUGAGUACUCUCUCAGACCAAAAAAAAAAAAAAAGACGAUAUAUGGAAACGCUUUCUUUUUGAGAUGGAAUUUUGCUCUUGUUGCCCAGGCUGGGGUGUAAUGGCACGAUCUCGG